ACACGGGAAAGGAGGUGGUCCAACGGUGAAUAGCUACAGGACUCGUGAGGUGGCUGUCCGCUGACAGCACACACGGGCCACCCAGUUGACACGUGUGUCUGCCGGUGAAUACCAGGCAGCCACCGGCCCCCAGUGCUCCCGGGAACAGGUCCGCCCCGGGCCCGAACGGCUGACGACGGUCGGGAGUCGCACCGGGGGCUUCUUCC
rnacentral:sRNA from 1 species